rnacentral:tRNA from 1 species
GGGUCGGUGCCCGAGUGGCCAAAGGGAGCGGGCUGUAAACCCGUCGGCUCAGCCUACGGAGGUUCAAAUCCUCCCCGGCCCACCA